rnacentral:lncRNA from 1 species
UUUUAUUAUUAAAAGCCUUAUGUCCCCACUAAAGUGUUAUGGAUCAUCAGGGGUUAAAGGAGUUGCAGAGGAAAGAGCCCUGUUAGUUCAAUUGUUUAUUCUCCUUGUCUGCUCUGAGAUCACUGUGGGGACUAUACCAGAUAACUUUAUCUGUGGAAACUGGGCAUUCUCUUAUCUCUCCUACGCCCAUCAGUGAAAUACCAAGAUAUCUAGGAGACAUUUAAAAGUAGAGAUAAGUUAAUAUUUUUUUCUGCCUUUUACUUCUUUUGCCAUUUCCUUUAUAGAAAUCUUGUUGGAACUUUUCUUACUGAGAGCAUUUGUGAAUAAUUAAGAAAAAUCAGUAUCUAUACACCCAGUCAAGAAGGAUUAAUUGACUUUUCUGGUUCCUUUGCAUAAGACCAUGGCUAUCUACUCCUAGGACUCUCAAGACUUCCAUUUUCAACUUCCUUCAACGAUUCUGGGCUGCGACUUCUCAUGUUGCAGAUCUGAAAUCAUGAAUUACCAGCCAGCUGGAACAGCAGGAGAAGGAAAGAUCAUACAUACCCUGAGCUCCAGUCAGUCACUGUGAGAAGUGCAGAGGAGCUCCGCUGUUUCCAUCUAGUGCUGGCAGAGAAAUUACCAGCAGCUUAUCACCCCAGCAAGUUUUAAGCUUGCUUGGAAACAUGGUCCAGACAAGGAUCAGAUGGUUUUUGUCAGCUCCAGGAUGGAUUAUUGAGUUGUGUCACGUCUGAAGCUGAAUGUGAACAUAACAUGCAAGUUUUGGCUGUUAUAGAAGUUGGCUGUGCACUUGCUAAAGAGUUCAAACUUGUGCCGUAUCGAUUCCCAGAGAGCUUCCAGAAGAACAAAAGGUUCAAGCCUUUGCUACAUAGGACACACUGCCUUAUUUUAGAAGCUCUCCUUCUCCUGGCCAGCAGACUUCCAAGCCAAAGACUGGAACAGAGUUGUCUGCUUUAACUAAGCACUGUGCUUCUAGCUUUCAAACCUCAAGGAUGGUUGUAAUUUGGCAUCCGAAAAUGGUAGCCAUUUUCUCUGUAAGUUUAAGAUACCCUUCUUGAAGCUGUAGAACCUAUGAGCCUGCUGGAAUACAGCUGUGGUGAGUGUGAUGGUUUGCUGUUUAUAAUUUUU